rnacentral:rRNA from 1 species
GAUAAGAUUUCCCACCGCAAGGGUAAGACCCCAGAAAGACUAUCUGGUUGAUAGGUCGAAGGUGUAAGUGCAGCAAUGUAUUUAGCUUAUCGAUACUAAUAGGUCGAGGACUUGACCAAUAUU